UGUAAGUAUAACAAAACUCAUAUUGCAGGCAAAAACCUGUGAAAAAUAGAUUUUAAAAAAAUGUGAAUUUUGUGACUGUACUAUUUAGUGUCAUUGUUUUAUAGAUACCAUAGUGAGAAAGGAUUCAUUUCGCAACACCUACGGCUUCCACUAGAUGUCAACGAUCUUUAUAAAGUUGUUUGAAGCGUCUAUGAUAAACAGAGAGCAAAUUAGAAUCCAAGGAAGUUGACAUGUCAUCACUUCAUUUUUUUGCGCCUGCGCAUAAAUCUGAGAAGCGUGAGUUUUCAUCAUUGUUUAUCUAGACAUAGGAUAGGUUGUGUGAAAAUAUUACUGAUGUUUAACGUUAAAAAUGGACCAAAAGAUUAAUGCUAAACAACAUUUGACAUGUUUGAACAGACGUAAAUAGAUUAUUUACUAGGUUUUUUUAGCUUUUCGGCGUGAUUUUACACUCCCCCCACCACGUUUUGUGGGAGCAUAAUGAACGCUAAGUACUUGGUGUUAUUUGGACAUAAAUUAUGAACUUUGUCAAAAGAAACCACAUUUGUUCCGGACCUGGGAUGCCUUCCGGACCUGGGAUGCCUGCCUUCUGAUGGAGAUAAUCAAAGGUUAUGGUGAAGGUGACCACAGAUGGUAUCUAAAUGCAUGGAAGAUAAGUUGGCCGAGAGCAGAACAGUGUUAACCUCAACACCCCCCUAAAAAAAUCCUGAAAAUGUUGUUCAGUAUGGUCCUUCACCACUUCUACCGUGAGACCUGAGUCCAAGCCAGCAACCUGUACACAGCAUCCAGAAGCUAUCGACUGCCUUUUCUCUCAUGUUUUUUUUCUCAGGAUUGUGACAUGGGUCCAUGUGGAGUGAGCAUGGCGAGAGAUCCAGUCCAAACCUCUCUCAUGCUGCCGGUGUACUGGUAGGAAAAUGGACAAGAUAUAAUGGACUGUAAAGGACAGUGGCGGCUCAGGUGAGAGACAUUAUCAAGGGCCAUCCACUUUGAACAUGUGCCAUUAAAAUGACAAACUGAAACACUAUCUGAAGAAGAACAUGAAGAAACGCCAGGAAAGGAAUGGUGUCGUGAAGUGUGGGUGGUCUACCGUGCCCGUAAUUGAUUUAGGCUUAUCCAAAAUGGUUUAUUUGGGGUAUCAGGUUGAUUGUGGAGGUCUGCACAGAGCAUCAUGUUUUUUGCUCCUCCAGAGGAUGGAGAAAGAGUUAGAUGCCCACUCUGGAUGAGCCCCCUUUCCCCCUGUAGAUACGGACGAUGAGUAAUGAUUGAAGGUUGUUUCUUUUAACAAGUUGAAGGUAAGGUCAUCUAAACCCUUAACCUUUUUACAUCAUGUGAACACUGAGCUGACCUUUUGGGGGUCUUAGCAGAAUUGUUAAACAACUGGGUUUUAUAUUUUGACUAAGUUGAUGUCCCAGGGACAGUUAGUGACAACAUAGGUCAAUGCAACGUAAUUGUGGUAAGAAAUAUGGAAACAAUGGUUAACAUUGAGAGAUGUAUUCACCUCUGAACCACACAGAUCCCUUGUGUAUGUGUGUAUUCUUUUGAUACUCAUUCCUGUUAAGAGAAGUAUAACCUUUAUUAUGAUUAUAAUAUUACCAUACUAAGUGGAUUGUACAACCCAGAAUGAAGGGUUUGAAAUGAUGAAGUGUCUCGGUUUUUUUCAG
rnacentral:lncRNA from 1 species